UACAUAGGUGGCAAGCGUUGUUCGGAAUUACUGGGCGUAAAGGGCGCGUAGGCGGUCCGAUAAGUCCUGUGUGAAAUCCCUCGGCUCAACUGAGGAACUGCACGGGAGACUGUCGGGCUUGAGUUCGGGAGAGGGAAGCGGAAUUCCGGGUGUAGCGGUGAAAUGCGUAGAUAUCCGGAGGAACACCGGUGGCGAAGGCGGCUUCCUGGACCGACACUGACGCUGAGGCGCGAAAGCUAGGGGAGCAAACGGG
rnacentral:rRNA from 1 species